GACGCACUAGGGACGCGCCCGGUGGGGGCAUGGCGUCCAAUCGAGGCGGGCGUCCACGGGCGGCCAGGGUUGAGUCCCGGGUCGGGGCCGGGGGAUUACCGGCGCACCAGGGCCGAGGGCUGGGGCUGGCGGGGCCGCUCGCUGCCUCUCGCUCGCAGCAGCGGCGGCAGGCGCGGGCGAGGGCGAGGGCCACGGGGAGAGGAGACGCAGGCCCGCGGGUGGCACGCUCGGCCGGGCCCCGGCCCGCGCUCAACGGGCGCGAUGCUCUUCUCGCUCCGGGAGCUGGUGCAGUGGCUAGGCUUCGCCACCUUCGAGAUCUUCGUGCACCUGCUGGCCCUGUUGGUGUUCUCUGUGCUGCUGGCACUGCGUGUGGAUGGCCUGGUCCCGGGCCUCUCCUGGUGGAACGUGUUUGUGCCUUUCUUCGCCGCUGACGGGCUCAGCACCUACUUCACCACCAUCGUGUCCGUGCGCCUCUUCCAGGAUGGAGAGAAGCGGCUGGCGGUGCUCCGCCUUUUCUGGGUACUCACGGUACUGAGUCUCAAGUUCGUCUUCGAGAUGCUGUUGUGCCAGAAGCUGGCGGAGCAGACUCGGGAGCUCUGGUUCGGCCUCAUUACGUCCCCGCUCUUCAUUCUCCUACAGCUGCUCAUGAUCCGCGCCUGUCGGGUCAACUAGCCUCACCGAGGUGCCGGAGAGGGAGCGCUGGACGGCUAGAAUGUUGACCUCGCGCCGAGGCCCUACUUGCGCCGCACCGGAGGAGAGGCUCUCUAGUCUGAAGGCACCGCCUGCUUGCGCCGAGCUGAGUGCCCGGUUUCCCUAUUCCAAUCCUGUUUGAAAUGGUUUCUUCAGCAGGGCUUAAAAGAGCAGCCUUCGUCCUGAAAAUGUAUGUCCUUUUGUUUAAUGCUUUGAAUAGAUAAUCCUGAAUUGAGGUCAUGAGGAGGCCCCCAGGCCAGACAGUCCUGAACCCCUCUGACACUUGGAAACUGAAUAUAAGUAAAAUGUCCAGGUGGACUCUGCGUAUUUCCUGUGGAUCCUGGGAAAGUGCUGUUGCACAAAGGCUGCAAAGCUGGACGCAGGAAUGUCCUCCAACCAGCAGCGCUGACCUAAGAGCUGCCUGUGCCGUCUAUCCAGACCAGGCUUCGGUAGAUGCCUUUGUUAGAUCUGUCAAAUGUAAACGAGCUUGUAUCUCCUUCCCUGUGCCACGAGAGAGAUUGGCUUUUUAUUCCAGUCUAGGCAGAGACAGAAGAAUGUUGAAUAAGAGCACGAUUAGGAUCCUGUCUGGUUAUUUGUUGCCCAAGAAAAGAACUCUGCUGUCCAGGCACUGCUUGGCUUCCUAUCCCAGCAAAGACUGCAGUUUUGUGGACUUCUGACCACCUUGUGGCUGGCACUCUUAGCACACCUGAGACAGAUUUAAGCCUCCCUAAGAGACUGAAGAGAGGAACAGGUGUCGGAUACUCAUAGGCACUGAGACCUACAAAUGGGAAGCUUGUGAGUGGCCCAGCUUUGUUGGCCUACGAACUUUGGUUUGAUGCCAGUCAGGUGCCAAAUGAGAACCUUUGCUGAGAUGCAAAUAAAAUGAAGAUCUCCUUCAACGACAAAAGCCUGCAGACCACAUUUGAGUACCCUUCCGAGAGCUCGCUAGCACAGGAGGAAGA